UACGAAGGGGGCUAGCGUUGUUCGGAAUUACUGGGCGUAAAGCGCACGUAGGCGGAUUGUUAAGUCAGAGGUGAAAUCCCGGAGCUCAACUUCGGAACUGCCUUUGAUACUGGCAAUCUCGAGUCCGGAAGAGGUUAGUGGAAUUCCCGAGUGUAGAGGUGAAAUUCGUAGAUAGUUGGGAAGAACACCAGUGGCGAAGGCGGCUGAACUGGUCCGGUACUGGACGC
rnacentral:rRNA from 1 species